AAUUUGGGAACGAGAUGCCCGGGGAUGCAACCAGCCCCGCGCUCGGAGGCGGCGGUCGGAGUUCCGUGCGCAGAGGGCACACAAAAGCCUCGAGGAUCAUUGCCUCGACCCCAUCCCCCACCGCGCGGCGACGCCCCCUACGGGCUGGGACACCUCCACUCUCGGACUGCUGCCGGGUUUCCCUCCGGCUGCGACCCUGGAGGAUUUGAUGGAAAUGCUACAAGAGAAGCAGGCUCUCCCCUUCUGAAAUGAUGAGUGAUAAUGACCAUACAGGUCAACUUUUCCACCACUUGGAGGGAGCCUGUCAAAGAACAAAGGCAACAGAGAAGAGAGCAGAGCUGAGGUUGGGUGAGAGGGAGAAAUUCCUGAGUGCUUGAAUCCCACAUGCCGGAAGCCGCACCACACUUGGACUUCUCAAUACAGGAGCCACUGAGAAACCAAGUCAUGCUGAAGACCUGGAAAUCCCAGCAGGCUGCAAACCAGCUGCAACUACAAUGGGUCAGCCCUUUUGAGAUGCUGCUGACUACCCACUUAUCUGCCAAGUUAGCCAGUGUUAAGCCAUGGAUUCACCACGCUCAGAUAAAACCUGCCCCUCUGGGAUCCCUCCAGAAAAAAACAGGCAUGCUGUUGUGAACCCUAAGAUGGCCUUAAGUUAAUAUUCAAUGCCCAGCCAAAGACCCUAAAUAAGAAGUCAUAAAGGAAACAUGUGCUUUUCAGGUUGGUAUUAUUCUCCCCAAAACCCUUCUUGCAUGCAGGAUGUAAUGAAUCAGAAAUAGUUGUUAGUAAUUUUUUUUUUUUUGAGACAGAGUCUCACUCUGUCACUCAGGCUGGAGUGCAGUGGUAUAAUCUCAGCUCACUGCAACCUCCACCUCUCAGGUUCAAGCAAUUCUCAUGCUUCAGCCUCCCAAGUAGCUAGGACUACAGGUGUGCACCACCAUGCCCAGGUAAUUUUUGUAUUUUUAAUAGAUACAGGGUUUCACCACGUUGCUCAGGCUGGUCUUGAACUCCUGACCUCAAGUGAGCCACAUCUGCCUCAGCCUCCCGGAGUGCUAGGAUUGCAGGUGUGAGCCACCACACCCAGCCAUGAAUCAGAAAUACUUUUUAAUAGGCUUAGGAUUGUUCUCUUGGAUUCCUUAAGGGAUCCACUUUAAUUCUUGGGUGUUUUUUUUUUUUUUAAUCAUGGUGCUCCAACAAGCGGGAUGCCAGUCAGGUAAUCCUGAGCACUUCAGAUUCAGGGGUGAUGUUUGCAUUUCCCAUCAUUAUCCCACAAUGCACCCCUUAGCAUUAAGUAGCCAAAAAGGCAGACAACCAUAUUCCCCAUGAUCGAAAAAUUGAUGAAUAGAAAAAAGGGGAUUAAAACCAGCCCAAUUGUCCCAUAGAAAUGAUAUUACGGUUUUUAAAAGAAACAUAAAAAUUAACCUUCCUGUUUUUAAAAUUUAAAACUUACAUUUAUCUCAUCUGAAUUCCUUCCUCAAAAAACAGACACUCAGGCAAAAACAAAAACCUAAAACUCAUCAGAUCACUGUAUCCAGACAGAGACGCCAGACCCCUCAUCCAUCAUGAUUGCUUCUAUACUCCUCCUUAAUUCCUAUUUUCCCACCUUUCCUGCUAUACAAAACCCCCAAUUUUAGUCGGUCAGACAAACACAUUUGAGACUUUAUCUCCUGUUCUCCUUGGCUGCAACACCCCGUUAAAGUUUUCUUCCCUGGCAAUAGUUACUGUCUCAGUGAUUGGCAUUCUGUGUAACAAGCAGCAGAACCUAGACUGGAACCCUGGUGUUUCAGUAACAUUACCUUGUAGUAAAUGCUGUUGUGUCAUGCCCAGAUUCACUUUACCAAGCCCAGAUCCCACAGAUUAAAGGGCUCAGCUCCACAAGACUUCAGACACCAGCCACAAAUGGGGUCCCCAGGUGACCCACACUUCUGCCCAGUGGACUAUAAAUUCAAGGGUUCUGUGACUUUCCCUACCCAGCUUUGAUAAUUCACUAGAAUCCUCACAGAACUCAGGAAAAUGCCAUACCUACUAUUACACUUUAUUAUGAUGGACACACACGAGCAGCCAGAUGGAGGGGUACUGAGGAAGCAUCUGAAUGCAGGAGGCUCUGUCCCUGGAGAGUUGGGAUGAGCCACUCUCCUGGAUGUGUUCACCAACUCAGAAGCUCUCCAAGCCCCAUUGUGUAGGGAUUUUUUAUGGCAGUUUCAGUAAGUACACAUGAUUGAUUAAAUCAUUGGCCAUUGGUGAUUGAACUCAAUCUCUAGCCCCUCUCCUGCUCUCAGAGGUGGAAGAGCAAGGCUGGAAGUUCUAACCUUCUCAGUACAUGGUUGGUUUUUCCUGUGUCCAGGUCCCAUCCUAAAGCUACCUAGGCCCCCUCUGCCCAACAAGAGUCUUCUCAUUAGCAAAAGAGUAAUUUCCAAGGGUGUUAGGAGCUCUAUGCUGGGAACCAGGGACCAAGAGUAAAUAUAUAUUUUGUAUUUUACCACAGGUACCAAUCACCCUCCAGAUCUAAGAAUGGCUUCAGGCUGGGGCUGCAGUCACCUCUUUGCCCAGCUUCUCCCCUGCCCUAUUCUGCUUCACUUGCAUCCUUAAAGGUUCCACCCAAGAGCUCUUCUACAAGAAAGCACCUAUAAAGCCAGACACAUUGGCUUAUGCCUAUAAUCCUAGCACUUUGGGAGGCCAAGGUAGGAGGAUGGCUUGAGGCCAGGAGUUCAAGACCAGCCUGGGCAACUUAGUGAGGCCCCGUCUCUAUAAAAAAUAAAAAAAUUAACCAGGUGUGGUGGUGCACGUCUCUAGUCUCAGCUACUCAGGAGGCUGUGGCAGGAAGAUGGCUUGAGCCCAGGAGGUUGAGGCUGCAGUGAACUAAGAUCAUGCCACUGCACCCAUCUUGGGCAACAGAAUGAGAUCCUGUCUCUAAAAAAAUAAAAACAAUUUACAACAGUAAGCACCUGUACACAAGCCCCAUCUCCAGUCCUGUUUCUAGGGCUUCCAAUUUAACACACCUAGAGGCUGGGCAUAGUAGCUCAUGCCUGUAAUCCCAAUACUUUGGGAGGCUGAGGCAAGUGAAGCACUUGAGGUCAGGAGUUCGAGACCAGCCUGGCCAACAUGGCAAAACCCCAUCUCUACUAAAAAUGCAAACAUUAGCUGGGCAUGGUGGCACAUGCCUGUAAUCCCAGCUACUCGGGAGGCUGAGACAGGAGAAUCACUUGAACCCAGGAGGUGGAGGUUACAGUGAGCCAAGAUCACACCACUGUACCACAGCCUGAGCAACGAAAGAAGACUCUGUCUAAAAAAAGUAAAAAAUAAAAUAAAACACACCUGGAGCUUUCUCUGAGAAACCAAGUCAUGCUGAAGACCUGGAAAUCCCAGCAGGCUGCAAACCAGCUGCAACUACAAUGGGUCAGCCCUUUUGAGAUGCUGCUGACUACCCACUUAUCUGCCAAGUUAGCCAGUGUUAAGCCAUGGAUUCACCACGCUCAGAUAAAACCUGCCCCUCUGGGAUCCCUCCAGAAAAAAACAGGCAUGCUGUUGUGAACCCUAAGAUGGCCUUAAGUUAAUAUUCAAUGCCCAGCCAAAGACCCUAAAUAAGAAGUCAUAAAGGAAACAUGUGCUUUUCAGGUUGGUAUUAUUCUCCCCAAAACCCUUCUUGCAUGCAGGAUGUAAUGAAUCAGAAAUAGUUGUUAGUAAUUUUUUUUUUUUUGAGACAGAGUCUCACUCUGUCACUCAGGCUGGAGUGCAGUGGUAUAAUCUCAGCUCACUGCAACCUCCACCUCUCAGGUUCAAGCAAUUCUCAUGCUUCAGCCUCCCAAGUAGCUAGGACUACAGGUGUGCACCACCAUGCCCAGGUAAUUUUUGUAUUUUUAAUAGAUACAGGGUUUCACCACGUUGCUCAGGCUGGUCUUGAACUCCUGACCUCAAGUGAGCCACAUCUGCCUCAGCCUCCCGGAGUGCUAGGAUUGCAGGUGUGAGCCACCACACCCAGCCAUGAAUCAGAAAUACUUUUUAAUAGGCUUAGGAUUGUUCUCUUGGAUUCCUUAAGGGAUCCACUUUAAUUCUUGGGUGUUUUUUUUUUUUUUAAUCAUGGUGCUCCAACAAGCGGGAUGCCAGUCAGGUAAUCCUGAGCACUUCAGAUUCAGGGGUGAUGUUUGCAUUUCCCAUCAUUAUCCCACAAUGCACCCCUUAGCAUUAAGUAGCCAAAAAGGCAGACAACCAUAUUCCCCAUGAUCGAAAAAUUGAUGAAUAGAAAAAAGGGGAUUAAAACCAGCCCAAUUGUCCCAUAGAAAUGAUAUUACGGUUUUUAAAAGAAACAUAAAAAUUAACCUUCCUGUUUUUAAAAUUUAAAACUUACAUUUAUCUCAUCUGAAUUCCUUCCUCAAAAAACAGACACUCAGGCAAAAACAAAAACCUAAAACUCAUCAGAUCACUGUAUCCAGACAGAGACGCCAGACCCCUCAUCCAUCAUGAUUGCUUCUAUACUCCUCCUUAAUUCCUAUUUUCCCACCUUUCCUGCUAUACAAAACCCCCAAUUUUAGUCGGUCAGACAAACACAUUUGAGACUUUAUCUCCUGUUCUCCUUGGCUGCAACACCCCGUUAAAGUUUUCUUCCCUGGCAAUAGUUACUGUCUCAGUGAUUGGCAUUCUGUGUAACAAGCAGCAGAACCUAGACUGGAACCCUGGUGUUUCAGUAACAUUACCUUGUAGUAAAUGCUGUUGUGUCAUGCCCAGAUUCACUUUACCAAGCCCAGAUCCCACAGAUUAAAGGGCUCAGCUCCACAAGACUUCAGACACCAGCCACAAAUGGGGUCCCCAGGUGACCCACACUUCUGCCCAGUGGACUAUAAAUUCAAGGGUUCUGUGACUUUCCCUACCCAGCUUUGAUAAUUCACUAGAAUCCUCACAGAACUCAGGAAAAUGCCAUACCUACUAUUACACUUUAUUAUGAUGGACACACACGAGCAGCCAGAUGGAGGGGUACUGAGGAAGCAUCUGAAUGCAGGAGGCUCUGUCCCUGGAGAGUUGGGAUGAGCCACUCUCCUGGAUGUGUUCACCAACUCAGAAGCUCUCCAAGCCCCAUUGUGUAGGGAUUUUUUAUGGCAGUUUCAGUAAGUACACAUGAUUGAUUAAAUCAUUGGCCAUUGGUGAUUGAACUCAAUCUCUAGCCCCUCUCCUGCUCUCAGAGGUGGAAGAGCAAGGCUGGAAGUUCUAACCUUCUCAGUACAUGGUUGGUUUUUCCUGUGUCCAGGUCCCAUCCUAAAGCUACCUAGGCCCCCUCUGCCCAACAAGAGUCUUCUCAUUAGCAAAAGAGUAAUUUCCAAGGGUGUUAGGAGCUCUAUGCUGGGAACCAGGGACCAAGAGUAAAUAUAUAUUUUGUAUUUUACCACAGGUACCAAUCACCCUCCAGAUCUAAGAAUGGCUUCAGGCUGGGGCUGCAGUCACCUCUUUGCCCAGCUUCUCCCCUGCCCUAUUCUGCUUCACUUGCAUCCUUAAAGGUUCCACCCAAGAGCUCUUCUACAAGAAAGCACCUAUAAAGCCAGACACAUUGGCUUAUGCCUAUAAUCCUAGCACUUUGGGAGGCCAAGGUAGGAGGAUGGCUUGAGGCCAGGAGUUCAAGACCAGCCUGGGCAACUUAGUGAGGCCCCGUCUCUAUAAAAAAUAAAAAAAUUAACCAGGUGUGGUGGUGCACGUCUCUAGUCUCAGCUACUCAGGAGGCUGUGGCAGGAAGAUGGCUUGAGCCCAGGAGGUUGAGGCUGCAGUGAACUAAGAUCAUGCCACUGCACCCAUCUUGGGCAACAGAAUGAGAUCCUGUCUCUAAAAAAAUAAAAACAAUUUACAACAGUAAGCACCUGUACACAAGCCCCAUCUCCAGUCCUGUUUCUAGGGCUUCCAAUUUAACACACCUAGAGGCUGGGCAUAGUAGCUCAUGCCUGUAAUCCCAAUACUUUGGGAGGCUGAGGCAAGUGAAGCACUUGAGGUCAGGAGUUCGAGACCAGCCUGGCCAACAUGGCAAAACCCCAUCUCUACUAAAAAUGCAAACAUUAGCUGGGCAUGGUGGCACAUGCCUGUAAUCCCAGCUACUCGGGAGGCUGAGACAGGAGAAUCACUUGAACCCAGGAGGUGGAGGUUACAGUGAGCCAAGAUCACACCACUGUACCACAGCCUGAGCAACGAAAGAAGACUCUGUCUAAAAAAAGUAAAAAAUAAAAUAAAACACACCUGGAGCUUUCUA
rnacentral:lncRNA from 1 species